rnacentral:lncRNA from 1 species
CCCACAUUGCCUGCCUGUCCCACCCUGGACUGUGCCAUGCACGCCGGCGUGUGGUUCUGGGGGUGUGGGUGGGAGUGGAUGUGUGCCAAGGCCAUCACUUCCUUACACACACACACACACACACACACACACACACACACACGGUCCCAGAGAGCUGUCUCCAUAGACACCAAUGGGGGGCGUGCCCCAGGCCCCCGCCCCCCAUCCUAGGAGUGGGACUCUGGGCCAGCCGGGGUGGGAGCUGGACAGGCAGCCCCUUCACGUGGGGACCCGGCUGGCACCCACUCCAUCGCCCGCGUUACCCCAACCCCACCAGGGAUACUGCCCACCUGCCGUGUUCCCACCCACCUCUGGCCCUUGGGGACUAUUCUGUCUGCAGGACAUGACCUCAAGGAACACAGGCAGCAGAGCAGUAGGGUGAUGACUCUUGGGGCCCCGGCUGGGCUCUGAGCUGGCCCCACCCGGCAGAAGGUACUAGGUGCCCCCACCACUGGUCUGACAUCAGCAUCACCCCGGCCCCCCAGAAGCCACCUAAACCAUCAGCACCACCAUGUCCCUGUCCCCUUAAUGUCGCGUCAUCCUCCUCUGACCAGUGCUCCACCCCGCCAGCCCAGCGCCACCACCAACGUCCUCAGUGCUGUGAUGUCACGCAUCACGGCAGCAGGGACGGGGGGCACACGGCGCGGGUCUGUGGCCAACCCUGCCUUCUCCAGACACACCCCAGACACCACUGUGGCCCGGCUGCCACCCGCCACGCACCCUCCCUGCAGCACCGUGGGCUCUCCCUGUGCCAGGCACCAGGCUCCUCUCAGACCACCCGGAGGCCCUUGUCACCUCCCUGGAGACCACCGACCGCUCCCACAACCGCAUCCUUGCCGCCGAACUGGAAUCUGCUGUUCCGCUCUCUCCCCUGCCCGCAGCGCUCCAGGCCGGGCCAGGCCCCAGAGGUAAGGGCUGCACCUGCCAGUCCCCGGGUCCUUGAGCCAAGGGUGCCGGAGCACAGGAGGCAAGAGCCCGCCCGUGUCCCCUGGCCCCACCUGGGGAGACCCCGGGCCUCCACUCGCCCAGAGAUCUCCUGUAGCCCGUUGACCGGAAGCGACCGUCACGUGCCCAAAGUACUGUGCCUCUUGCUCCUAAGUGAAGUCCGGCAGGCUUGUCCAUUCAUCCGUCCACUCGGCCUCCGGCUCAUUCGCUUACCCAAGUGUGUGUCUGGCUGGCCGGGAGGACAUUCUGAGUCCAGGGAUUCAGAAGGCGGUGUGUUGGGGGAUGGGGUUCUGGCAUCCGGAAGGCUCAGUAUUGCUCAGAGCUGGAGACCACGGGAGCGAAGACCGCUGCCAG